GACGAACGCUGGCGGCGUGCUUAACACAUGCAAGUCGAACGGAAAGGCCCUGCUUUUGUUGGUUGCUCGAUUGGCGAACGGGUGAGUAACACGUGAGUAACCUGCCCUUGUCUUUGUGAUAACUCCAGGAAACUGGGGCUAAUAUCGGAUAGGAUCUUCUGCUGCAUGGUGGUGGUUGGAAAGUUUCGGCGGUUGGGGAUAGACUCGCAGGUUAUCAGCUUGUUGGUGGGGUAGUGGCUUACCAAGGCUUCGACGGGUAGCCGGCAUGAGAGGGUGACCGGGCACAUUGGGCCUACGAUACGGCGCAGACUCCUACGGGAGGCAGCAGUGGGGAAUAUUGCACAGUGGGCGGACGCCUGAUACAGAGACGCCGCGUGCGGGAUGACGGCCUUCGGGUUGUAAACAGCUUUCGACUGAGACGAAGAGUGAGUGACGGUACUGGGUAAAGAAGCACCGGCUAACUACGUG
rnacentral:rRNA from 1 species